UUGGAGGGCAAGUCUGGUGCCAGCAGCCGCGGUAAUUCCAGCUCCAAUAGCGUAUAUUAAAGUUGUUGCAGUUAAAAAGCUCGUAGUUGAAUUUCGGGAUCAAUUUAUUGGUCGUGCCAACGGUACGCACUGGUACAAUUGGUUUCUCCCUUCUGACGAAGCAUGAUGACACUAAUUUGAUGUCGUGGGGAAUCAGGACUGUUACUUUGAAAAAAUUAGAGUGUUUAAAGCAGGCUUUGGCUUGAAUACAUUAGCAUGGAAUAAUGAAAUAGGACGUUUGAUCUUAUUUCGUUGGUUUCUAAGAUCGACGUAAUGAUUAAUAGGGAUAGUUGGGGGCAUUAGUAUUCAAUUGUCAGAGGUGAAAUUCUUGGAUUUAUUGAAGACUAACUACUGCGAAAGCAUUUGCCAAGGAUGUUUUCAUUAAUCAAGAACGAAAGUUAGGGGAUCGAAGACGAUCAGAUACCGUCGUAGUCUUAACCAUAAACUAUGCCGACUAGGGAUCGGAUGAUGUUAAUUUUUUAAUGACUCAUUCGGCGCCUUUCGGGAAAC
rnacentral:rRNA from 1 species